AGUAGCUAAUGCGAGCACCUUAUUAAAGGAGCUGAGCCAAGUAAGGUGCUUGCUGAAAGCAACCGUCUCUUUUCUCCCACUACCUUCGAACAAGCUCGAUCAAUUUGUUCGAGCUCACAGUGCUCCACUCCCACCCUCCUGAUGUCUCAGGUUGGUUUUACAGUUUUGUCAUUGCUCUCAGGUAAUAAUGAAUGGUCUUUUUUAAGUGGUUAGAAUCCAGGUUGGCAUAACAAACCAAACACUAACCUCAUUCUGUUUAAACCUUCUUCCCUUUCUGAGUUGAGUUUUGCUCCAGGCUUGGAAGUAUACAUGGAGAAGGUAGGACACUGCUUUUCCUCUUCUCAGUUCUCCUCCUCCCUCUUCAGUUGCUGCUUUGGGCCUUUUCAUAACACAGAGUUCUCACCACUAGACAAUGAUCACGGCGAGCUACUGGGAUGCCACCAGUAUUGGCCUUUUCAAAGCCACAAGAAACAAGGAGAAAAGUAUGGGACAAUCUUCCAGGUUGUGAAGUGGCCCUCAAAGAGGGAAGCCAGCUCUUGAAGACACUCAAGCAGACUAUGGAGAGGGCCACGUGGCAAGGAACUGAGGCUUGCCAGCAACCAAGUGAGUGAACUUUGAAGCGUAUGGUCUGAACCCUGCCAAGAGGCACAUGAGUGAGCUUGGAAGUGGACCAUCUCAGUCGAGCAGUAAGAUGACUGCAGCCCAGCCAACAGCUCUACUGCAACCUAUUGAAAGACUUUGAGCCGGAACCACCAAACUAAACCACUUCUGGAUUCCUGACCCAAAGAAAUUGUCAGUAAGUCCAGCUCACACUCAAGGGACUGAAUACAAAGACAUGAAUACCGAAAGAUCAUUGGGCCAUCUUGGAAGCUGCCUAUCGUAUGGAUUAAUAAAUAUACAUUUCUCAGGAUUAAUUCCUAAUAAAAGUGCCUGUUUCCAACAUGGAGGAUUCUAUCAGGAGAUACUUAGUGCUUAAAAACAUUUAUUGGACAAUGAUGACUACAGAUUUGAUGAGUGAGAUGUAAAACAAAUAAAGAUGUUAACUUAAACUUAGAAAGUUUUCUAAGGCUAGAAAAAUUUUGUGUUUCAAUCAGAGACUAUUUUAUAUGAUAUGUAGUUAAUUUUAUCAAGUGUUAUAGAAUGCAAAUGUGAAACAUUCACCUCAAAAUCUAAGUAAGUUACUAAUGAAAGAAAUGUUUAUUUCUAGAUUUUUUUAUAGUUUUAGCACAUAUGUGUAUUCCUACCAUAUUGUUUAGUUUUAAAUGUUUUAAAAUUGUAUCUAAAUAGAAUCUUGCUGUGCUUUUUUUGUGUGUAUCUUGCUUUUCUCAUUCAAAAUUAUUACAUCCCUGAGAUUUCUUUAUGAUGUUGCAUAUAGCUGUAAUUCAUUCAUUCUUAAUGCUGUACAGUAAUUAUUAUGGAGUUAUUAUAAUUUGUUUAUUAAUUCUACAGUUGAUGGAUAUUUGGGUUGCUUAUAAUUUCUUGAUAUUUCAAUUAGUGUAGCAGUGAACAUUCUAGUACAUAUCUCCUGGUAUUAGUGAGAAUAUUUCUAGGAUUGGAAUUGGUGAUCACAGCUAUAUUAUCUACAAAUGUACUUGAUGAUACUAAUUGUUUUUCACAGUAGGUAUGCCAAUUUACAUUCUCACUACCAGUGUAUAAGAGUUCCACAUCAUUACUAGCACUUGAUAUAAUACCAAAACAAUCAAGAACGCAAGGAAAGCUUGAUAAAGAUACAAUUUGUGGAACAUUUUAACAUUUCUCUUUUAGUAAUACAUAUAAUAGGCAAACAUUAGUGGGCUAUAAAAGUAUCGAAUAAUACAAUCAAUAAACUCAGUUUAUUACAUUUUUAAAAUUCUUUGACUCCAGAAUAUAUAUUUCAUUUAUAUUACUUAGAACAUGUUGAGGAAAAAUUGGUAUGUAGUUGGUCACAAAAAAAACCUUAAAGUCAAAAAAGUAAAGAUUUUUAUAGACCAUAUUCUCCAAUCUAAAAGCCAAUUAAAUGGAAACAAAUAAUAAUAGAAUAUCAGAUCUUAAUUAUAAGAAACUAUAAAAUAUAAUUACGAUAACCCUUGAAACAAAAAGGAAACAUUGCAAAUAACUCUUCUUUCAAAAAUCUCUGGGAUAAAGUGAAAGGUACAUUUGGAGAGCUUUCAUUACUUUAAUAAGGAAAAACUUAUUUUUAGAAAAACUCCAGGAGGCCAAUGCAGGAGGACUGCUUGAGGCCAGUUUUAAAAAUAAGGGAACUUUCUACUUACCUUAAAUUCAUCGUGAGCAUGGAUUAAAGAAAAAGAAAAAGGAAAUAUAUGGAAUUAGAAAUAACAUAGAUACAGAAGAUUAAAAAUUACAUACAGCUCUAUGGCAACAUAUUUGAAAAUCUUAUAUAAGAGAAUUUCCUGGUAAAAUUUAAAUUGCCAAAACUAGCCCCAAAAGGAGAAUAUUUUAAUAUAUAAAUUGCCAUAUAUG